rnacentral:misc_RNA from 1 species
GAUGAAGAACGCAGCGAAAUGCGAUAAGUAAUGUGAAUUGCAGAAUUCAGUGAAUCAUCGAAUCUUUGAACGCACAUUGCGCCCAUUAGUAUUCUAGUGGGCAUGCCUGUUCGAGCGUCAUUUCAACCCUUAAGCCUAGCUUAGUAUUGGGAAUCGACUUUACUGUCGUUCCUCAAAUUCAACGGCGGAUUUAUAGCAAUCUCUGAACGUAGUAAUUUUUUUCCUCGUUUUUGAAAUACUAUAAACCUCAGCCGCUAAACCCCCAAUUUUUCUAUGGUUGACCUCGGAUCAGGUAGGAAUACCCGCUGAACUUAAGCAUAUCAAUAAGCGGAGG